ACCAUUACAGUACACCACCUCAAGCUAGUAGCCACCUUCUCCCCAAGCACACACUCCCUCCCCCCAGCGCCGCCGCCGGCGUCUCCCCCGCCGCCGCGUGGGUCGCCGCCGCCGCCGUGGCCGCCGCCGCCGCGUUCUACUGAGAUCGAGGCUGAUGAGAUCCGCCGACCACCUCAUUAAUUUAUUACCCGUCCAUCAGAGGGACCCACCAUUCCUCCUCCUCCUCUCCUGAUCUCCUCCUUUUCCUUCUUCAUCUGUGGUGGUGGUGUUGAGCUGUUUAUUUUAUUUCUCUCUCUAUCUUUUUUUUCUUCCAUUUUUUUGGGC
rnacentral:sRNA from 1 species